rnacentral:rRNA from 1 species
AUUGCACAAUGGGCGCAAGCCUGAUGCAGCCAUGCCGCGUGUGUGAAGAAGGCCUUCGGGUUGUAAAGCACUUUCAGCGAGGAGGAAGGUGGUGAACUUAAUACGUUCAUCAAUUGACGUUACUCGCAGAAGAAGCACCGGCUAACUCCGUGCCAGCAGCCGCGGUAAUACGGAGGGUGCAAGCGUUAAUCGGAAUUACUG